rnacentral:lncRNA from 1 species
CUUUGGAAGCUCAAAGCCGCACUGGAAACACAGUCUUUCAGGAUGUCUGAAAGGGGCAAGUCUGUUUGUGUGGGGUAAGAAAUGCGGGGAGACAAACGGACAGUGGACAGAUUGCAGAGAGCUCUGUGUGCUGAGAGGAGGGUGCAGACCAGAUUUUUAAAUUGAGAAUGCAACAGUGAAGGAUUUCAAGCUUGGAGUGAGAGGGGAGACUACGAGCCUGCAGUGAUAAGGCAAAGCUGAAGAUUUCAGAGCCAAGGCCACACCCUACAGUUGCCAUGGAAUGGGGUGGCACAGUGGGCUUUGGAGGUAAAGUCUGCAGUUGAGAAGUUCAAGGGUAAUAUACAGGGAGUCCACGGAGCCUCCCCUGCAAGCAUCAGUACAGAAGUCGAUGAUAAUCUGGAUGCAAGCCCAGGAGUGUGGAGUCCACUGACUCAGAAGACCUGCAUCUAAGGAAUUGGCUGUUCUUAUCCUUAAGAAUGAUGACUGUGUUUCCAAUUCCAGUAGACCCUUUGAUGCGUUCUGAAUAAAUAUUCCUUUUGGAAUUGAA